GGAUUUGGAGAGCAGAAGGGAAGCAGCAGCCACUUUGUAGCUCACCUGUUGACUCACUUGGUGUGAGCCAGCAGCUGAGUGAAAUGGUUCUAUCUUCCCCUAGAUCCUCUUUAGCUUCUCCAACUCCUGGGCCAGCUGGGUAUAUGCUUUGCUUUGCAGCAAAGGGUUUCAGCUUCCGCAGGAUUCCUGCAUCACCAAGUGGGACGCUGCGAGACCUUACACAAGUUUCAGUUCAUCCUCGUGAGCUCCAGCUUAUACUUAAGGGUUCCUGCUUGCUCUUACUCUACCCACUUUGUAUUAGUUUUCCCUUCUAUAUUCUUGUGCUGUGGACUUCAAGCUCCGGUAUCAGGUCUGAAGACAGCAACCUUAAAAAUGUUGGUUAAUGAGCUCCCACAACCGAGAAAAGGAGUUUAGAACAUAGACAAGAACAUAGGAAGGACCAUGUGAAGACAGAGGAAGAAGAGAGCCAUCUAUGAGCCAAGGAGAGAGGCCUCAGAAGAAACCAACUCUGAUGACACCUUGACCUUGGACUUCCACCCUCCAGAAUUUUUUGCUGGGCUUCAUCUGAAGAACCAGAUACAGUGUACCGGCCUGACGCCCAGAUUAUCUUCUCCUCCAGGGGGAGAGGGAGAAUCAAGAGUCUGUAUUUUAUAAGUCCCCAAGGUUGCUGAACCCUCGUUUCCUUAGAGCAUUGACUUGAGAAAACUUGCGAUUAUAAAUUCCUUCUGUAUCCCUUUGAGAUAUGUAAUGAGAAGAUGGCCAUCUGCAAACCAGGAAUAGGGCCCUCACUGGACACUGGAUCUGCUGGUGAUUUGAUGUUGGACUUCCCAGUCUCCAGAACUAUAAGCAAUAAAUUUCUGUUGUUUAAACUACCCAAUCUAUAGUAUGUUUGUUAUAGCGAACCAAACUGACUAAGACAAACAAGUUGAAGAUUUCCGGUUACCUAGAACACAGCUCAUGAGACAUUCUUCCACUAAUCUAUGUGUUUUUAUAAUUAGUUAUGUUAACUAAUAUAAUUUUUUUUCAUUUUUCUGGGUUUUUUUGAGGAAGAUUAGCCCUGAGUGAACAUCUGCCACCAAUCCUCCUCUUUUUUGCUGAGGAAGACUGGCCCUGAGCUAACAUCCAUGCCCAUCUUCCUCUACUUUAUAUGUGGGAUGGCUGGCACAGCAUUGCUUAACAAGCAGUGCAUAGGAGGCUGGCUCCAAUAUAAUUCUCUUGUUUUCCUACUUAUUCUAUUGUAUUUGUUAAAGGGUUUUCUAGAAAAUAAAAUCUAUAAGGAAGAAAAUAAAAAUAAUUUAUAAUCAAACGUUGUUAACAUUUUUUGGAGUGUUUUCCAGUAGUAUUUUAUAUUUAUACAUUUUAAUAUGCCUGAAAUAUAUAUAGUGUGUAUAUAUGUUUUCUUGUUAGACUUUUAAAUGCAGUGUUAUAUAUGUUUUAAUGCCUGCAAUUAACUUUAGAAUUCUUCAGUAUCAACAACAUAUUAUACUGUCUUAGCUAUGCUCUGGAGGCUGUUCCUAAGUCAGUAAUUCUCACUCCAGGAGUAGUCAACGAGCAUUUAUCAGAAAUAACACACUACAGAGGCUGCUACAAUGAGUAAUCUAGCCAUCUCUCCCUCCCGUCUGCACCAGCUGCCUCGUAUAAUGUAUGUUAGAACUGAAUUUUUGUUGGUGAAAUUAGUUAAUUAGCAAAAUAAAUGUUAGAAAUAGUACUGAAGAUACAGAGAUUAUCUAGAAUAU
rnacentral:lncRNA from 1 species